AUUGAACGCUGGCGGCAGGCUUUACACAUGCAAGUCGAACGAGUGGCGGACGGGUGAGUAAUGCUUGGGAAUCUGGCCUAUGGAGGGGGAUAACGACGGGAAACUGUCGCUAAUACCGCAUACCAUAGGAUGAGCCCAAGUGGGAUUAGGUAGUUGGUGGGGUAAGUGCUUUCCAAGGCGACGAUCCUUAGCUGGUCUGAGAUGCUGACCAGCCACACCGCGACUGAGACACGGCCCAGACUCCUACGGGAGGCAGCAGUGGGGAAUAUUGCGCAAUGGGGGCAACCUGAGGAAGCCAUGCCGCGUGAAUGAUGAAGGCCUUCGGGUUGUAAUGUUCUUUCGGUGACGAGGCGUUAAUCACAGAAGAAGCACCGGCUAACUACGUGCCAGCAGCCGCGGUAAUUC
rnacentral:rRNA from 1 species